rnacentral:rRNA from 1 species
AGAGUUUGAUCCUGGCUCAGAACGAACGCUGGCGGCGUGCCUAACACAUGCAAGUCGUACGAGAAAUCCUGGGCAACUGGGAAAGUAAAGUGGCGCACGGGUGAGUAGCGCGUGGGUAACCUACCCUUGGAUUUGGGAUAACUCCGCGAAAGCGGGGUUAAUACCGGAUGAUAUUCCGAUUCCUAAGGGGAUUGGAAUCAAAGGUGGCCUCUACAUGCAAGCUAUCGUCUAAGGAUGGGCCCGCGUACCAUUAGCUAGUUGGUAGAGUAACGGCCUACCAAGGCAACGAUGGUUAGCUGGUCUUAGAGGAUGGCCAGCCACACUGGAACUGAGACACGGUCCAGACUCCUACGGGAGGCAGCAGUGGGGAAUCUUGCGCAAUGGGGGAAACCUUGACGCAGCAACGCCGCGUGGGUGAUGAAGGCCUUCGGGUCGUAAAGCCCUGUCAGGUGGGAAGAAACAUAUCGGUGCUAAUACCACCGAUGUUUGACGGUACCGCCGGAGGAAGCACCGGCUAACUCCGUGCCAGCAGCCGCGGUAAUACGGAGGGUGCAAGCGUUGUUCGGAAUUACUGGGCGUAAAGCGCGUGUAGGCGGUCGGGCAAGUCAGAUGUGAAAGCCUUCCGCUUAACGGAAGAAGUGCAUUGAAACUACCCGGCUGGAGUACGGGAGAGGAGAGUGGAAUUCCCGGUGUAGAGGUGAAAUUCGUAGAUAUCGGGAGGAACACCAGUGGCGAAGGCGGCUCUCUGGUCCGAUACUGACGCUGAGACGCGAAAGCGUGGGGAGCAAACAGGAUUAGGU